rnacentral:rRNA from 1 species
UACGGAGGGUGCAAGCGUUAUCCGGAUUCACUGGGUUUAAAGGGUGCGUAGGUGGGCAGGUAAGUCAGUGGUGAAAUCUCCGGGCUUAACCCGGAAACUGCCAUUGAUACUAUUUGUCUUGAAUACCGUGGAGGUUAGCGGAAUAUGUCAUGUAGCGGUGAAAUGCUUAGAUAUGACAUAGAACACCAAUUGCGAAGGCAGCUGGCUACACGAAUAUUGACACUGAGGCACGAAAGCGUGGGGAUCAAACAGG